rnacentral:rRNA from 1 species
UGGGGAAUAUUGCACAAUGGAGGGAACUCUGAUGCAGCGACGCCGCGUGAGUGAUGAAGGAAUUCGUUUCGUAAAACUCUGUUCUAUGGGAAGAAAAGGACUGUACCAUAGGAGAAAGCUCCGGCUAAAUACGUGCCAGCAGCCGCGGUAAUAUGUAUGGAGCGAGCGUUGUCCGGAAUUAUUGGGCGUAAAGGGUGCGCAGGCGGCUUUACAAGUUGGAUGUGAAAUAUUGUGGCUCAACCACAAACGUGCAUCCAAAACUGCAAAGCUUGAGUUAAGGAGAGGUAAGUGGAAUUCCUGGUGUAGCGGUGGAAUGCGUAGAUAUCAGGAGGAAUACCGGUGGCGAAGGCGACUUACUGGACUUAAACUGACGCUCAGGCACGAAAGCGUGGGGAGCAAACAGG